GUGUUAAGUGGAAAAGGAUGUGGGAUUUCGAAGACAACUAGGAUGUUGGCUCAGAAGCAGCCACACAUUAAAAGAGUGCGUAAUAGCUCACUAGUCGAGAGGUCCUGCGCCGAAAAUGUCCGGGGCUAAAACACAACACCGAAGCUUAGGAAUUCUAAUGAAUUGGUAGAGGAGCAUUGAAGACGGAACGAAGCCAUACCGAAAGGAAUGGUGGACUGUCUUGAAGAGAGAAUGCCGGAAUGAGUAGCGAGAUUGAAGUGAGAAUCUUCAAGGCCGAAUAUCUAAGGUUUCCAGGGUAAAGCUGAUCUGCCCUGGGUAAGUCGGGGCCUAAGGCAAGGUCGAAAGACGUAGUCGAUGGAUAACAGGUUGAAAUUCCUGUACUGCAUCAAAUCAGAAAUGUGGGGACACAUGAGGGAAGCAUGAGCCGGAAAAGGAAAGUCCGGUACAAGCGCAGCAGAGGACAGAUAGGCAAAACCGUCUGUCAACUCGAGGGCGUGAUGUGGAGCGAACCAAAGUAGCGAAGCAUGUGGAGCUUGUGUCGAGAAAAGCCGCUAUAGUGUUUGAUGUACCCGUACCGUAAACCGACACAGGUGGAUGAGGAGAGAAUCCUAAGGCCGGCGGGAGAAGCAUUGUUAAGGAACUCGGCAAAAUGACCCCGUAACUUCGGGAGAAGGGGUGCUCCAGAGAUGGAGCCGCAGAGAACUGGCCCAAGCAACUGUUUAGCAAAAACACAGGUCUAUGCAAAACCGAAAGGUGAGGUAUAUGGGCUGACGCCUGCCCGGUGCUGGAAGGUUAAGAGGAGAUGUUAAUCGCAAGGUGAAGCAUUGAAUUUAAGCCCCAGUAAACGGCGGCCGUAACUAUAACGGUCCUAAGGUAGCGAAAUUCCUUGUCGGGUAAGUUCCGACCCGCACGAAAGGCGUAAUGAUUUGGGCACUGUCUCGACAAUGCACCCGGUGAAAUUGAAAUACCAGUGAAGAUGCUGGUUACCUGCGCCAGGACGGAAAGACCCCAUGGAGCUUUACUCUAGCUUGAUACUGGGGUUCGGUAUUGCAUGUACAGGAUAGGUGGGAGACUGAGAAGAUGUGUCGCCAGAUGCAUCAGAGUCGAUGUUGGGAUACCACCCCUGCAGUACUGGGCUUCUAACCUGCAGCCGUGACCCGGCUGGGGGACAAUGUCUGGUGGGGAGUUUGACUGGGGCGGUCGCCUCCGAAAGAGUAUCGGAGGCGCUCAAAGGUUCCCUCAGAAUGGUUGGAAACCAUUCGAAGAGCGCAAAGGCAGAAGGGAGCUUGACUGCGACACCGACGGGUGGAGCAGGUACGAAAGUAGGACUUAGUGAUCCGGUGGUAUGAAAGUGGGAUUGCCAUCGCUCAACGGAUAAAAGCUACCCUGGGGAUAACAGGCUUAUCACUCCCAAGAGUUCACAUCGACGGAGUGGUUUGGCACCUCGAUG
rnacentral:rRNA from 1 species